rnacentral:rRNA from 1 species
GGGUUGUGAGGUUAAGCGACUAAGCGUACACGGUGGAUGCCCUGGCAGUCAGAGGCGAUGAAGGACGUGCUAAUCUGCGAUAAGCGUCGGUAAGGUGAUAUGAACCGUUAUAACCGGCGAUUUCCGAAUGGGGAAACCCAGUGUGAUUCGUCACACUAUCAUUAACUGAAUCCAUAGGUUAAUGAGGCGAACCGGGGGAACUGAAACAUCUAAGUACCCCGAGGAAAAGAAAUCAACCGAGAUUCCCCCAGUAGCGGCGAGCGAACGGGGAGCAGCCCAGAGCCUGAAUCAGUGUGUGUGUUAGUGGAAGCGUCUGGAAAGGCGCGCGAUACAGGGUGACAGCCCCGUACACAAAAAUGCACAUACUGUGAGCUCGAUGAGUAGGGCGGGACACGUGGUAUCCUGUCUGAAUAUGGGGGGACCAUCCUCCAAGGCUAAAUACUCCUGACUGACCGAUAGUGAACCAGUACCGUGAGGGAAAGGCGAAAAGAACCCCGGCGAGGGGAGUGAAAAAGAACCUGAAACCGUGUACGUACAAGCAGUGGGAGCACAGAGCAAUCUGUGUGACUGCGUACCUUUUGUAUAAUGGGUCAGCGACUUAUAUUCUGUAGCAAGGUUAACCGAAUAGGGGAGCCGAAGGGAAACCGAGUCUUAACUGGGCGUUAAGUUGCAGGGUAUAGACCCGAAACCCGGUGAUCUAGCCAUGGGCAGGUUGAAGGUUGGGUAACACUAACUGGAGGACCGAACCGACUAAUGUUGAAAAAUUAGCGGAUGACUUGUGGCUGGGGGUGAAAGGCCAAUCAAACCGGGAGAUAGCUGGUUCUCCCCGAAAGCUAUUUAGGUAGCGCCUCGUGAAUUCAUCUCCGGGGGUAGAGCACUGUUUCGGCAAGGGGGUCAUCCCGACUUACCAACCCGAUGCAAACUGCGAAUACCGGAGAAUGUUAUCACGGGAGACACACGGCGGGUGCUAACGUCCGUCGUGAAGAGGGAAACAACCCAGACCGCCAGCUAAGGUCCCAAAGUCAUGGUUAAGUGGGAAACGAUGUGGGAAGGCCCAGACAGCCAGGAUGUUGGCUUAGAAGCAGCCAUCAUUUAAAGAAAGCGUAAUAGCUCACUGGUCGAGUCGGCCUGCGCGGAAGAUGUAACGGGGCUAAACCAUGCACCGAAGCUGCGGCAGCGACGCUUAUGCGUUGUUGGGUAGGGGAGCGUUCUGUAAGCCUGCGAAGGUGUGCUGUGAGGCAUGCUGGAGGUAUCAGAAGUGCGAAUGCUGACAUAAGUAACGAUAAAGCGGGUGAAAAGCCCGCUCGCCGGAAGACCAAGGGUUCCUGUCCAACGUUAAUCGGGGCAGGGUGAGUCGACCCCUAAGGCGAGGCCGAAAGGCGUAGUCGAUGGGAAACAGGUUAAUAUUCCUGUACUUGGUGUUACUGCGAAGGGGGGACGGAGAAGGCUAUGUUGGCCGGGCGACGGUUGUCCCGGUUUAAGCGUGUAGGCUGGUUUUCCAGGCAAAUCCGGAAAAUCAAGGCUGAGGCGUGAUGACGAGGCACUACGGUGCUGAAGCAACAAAUGCCCUGCUUCCAGGAAAAGCCUCUAAGCAUCAGGUAACAUCAAAUCGUACCCCAAACCGACACAGGUGGUCAGGUAGAGAAUACCAAGGCGCUUGAGAGAACUCGGGUGAAGGAACUAGGCAAAAUGGUGCCGUAACUUCGGGAGAAGGCACGCUGAUAUGUAGGUGAAGUCCCUCGCGGAUGGAGCUGAAAUCAGUCGAAGAUACCAGCUGGCUGCAACUGUUUAUUAAAAACACAGCACUGUGCAAACACGAAAGUGGACGUAUACGGUGUGACGCCUGCCCGGUGCCGGAAGGUUAAUUGAUGGGGUCAGCGCAAGCGAAGCUCUUGAUCGAAGCCCCGGUAAACGGCGGCCGUAACUAUAACGGUCCUAAGGUAGCGAAAUUCCUUGUCGGGUAAGUUCCGACCUGCACGAAUGGCGUAAUGAUGGCCAGGCUGUCUCCACCCGAGACUCAGUGAAAUUGAACUCGCUGUGAAGAUGCAGUGUACCCGCGGCAAGACGGAAAGACCCCGUGAACCUUUACUAUAGCUUGACACUGAACAUUGAGCCUUGAUGUGUAGGAUAGGUGGGAGGCUUUGAAGUGUGGACGCCAGUCUGCAUGGAGCCGACCUUGAAAUACCACCCUUUAAUGUUUGAUGUUCUAACGU